rnacentral:lncRNA from 1 species
UGGGGUUUUUGUAGAUUGUUCCUCGGGACGGGGACUUCGAGGCCUUUUCUUCUCGGAGUAAAUAGUCUUAUUGCUCGACAUGUUGAGCUAAUUCGUACAUGUCACGGAUGUUUGCCUCUAGGAAUUUAUUUUUGUAUUCCAGGUUUAGCCCAUUCAAAGCGAGCCUAACAAAUUCGACUUCAGCAAGAGGUACUCGGCACCAGUUUUUGGCCGAUUUAAACCUUGUAGGAUAAUCCAUUGGUGACUCAUCAGAUGCUUGAGUCAUCCUAGCCAAUGAAGAACCUGACGUUUCCAUUCCCAGCUGAUAAAAUUGCUCAUGGAAUUUUUCAACCAGUUCCUCCCAACUUUGGAUGGAGUUAGGUGGGAGGUUGAUGUACCACACGAAUGUCGAGCCUGUCAAUGAGAAGUUGAAUAGUCGCAGUUUAUGGAAGUCACUAUUAACAUCUCUGAAUUACGCAAUGAAUCGAGCUACAUGUUCUAACGAAAACAGGGAUGAUUCUCCAGCAAAAAGGCUGAAAUCUGGGAUUUUAAAGCCUUUAGGAUAUUUGAACUUUUCUACAUAAGCUGGGUAUGGAUGGAUGAAUUUUGGGAACUUUGGCCUUUUUUUCAAGGUCAAAUCGAUCAUUCUUUAUACCUCGAUCAUAUCGACGGAUGUUGUUUCUGCUAUUUGGUCGAAUCCAUAUGAUCUAUUACUUGAUUCUCCUUUUUUUUCCAAGUCGAACAUUUUAAGCCGAGCAGAUCCUGUUUUGGCCUAUAUCAUUGAUAAUGGAUUACUCUUAGGUGGAAGUUGUCGGGAACUAUCAGCGGGUCCACCUUCAUAAGCUUUACUAACCAAUAGUUCGAGCAAUUUGUUGUGUGCCUCUCCAUUACUGCGUACUACCUCAAGUAUGUUUUUUACUUCUCAAUUGAAAAUCUGAGAUUGCUCUUCAAGCCUUCUCUGGAGAAACGAUCUAGUAAGUGGAUCAGAACCUUCACCACCAUCCUCAUCGUAAUCCUCUAUUAAAACGCCUUUGGUUUUGUUAAGGGUAUCUGCAUUGUGAGGCUGGCCGCCGAGGUAAACUUCAUUUU